AUGCGGAGCCUAGCGGGAGCAUGUGGGACGGCCACGCAAGAGGUUGGCGUGUCCUUGACAGGUGCUCGGGCUUGUGGAGGAGGGGCCGAGUAUAGAGGGGAAGGACAUCGAGAAUCAGCAUCAGCGCCAUCAAUUUGGUACUCAGAGAGGAAGAAGAAAGGGACUGCAGCUCAUACAUGCAGUACGCAUAACACAGGUAAUUUCCUCUUCUUCUUGUACCAUUCCCGUCUCAUGCGUGUUAAAUUCAGAGAAGGAGAGCUAGUAGCAAUUCCAUUACUCUCCUUUCAUUCAGUUAAGAUGUGUGUUAAAUUCAGAGAAGGGAGAGCUAAUAGCAAUUCCAGUACUCUGCUUUCAUUCAGUUAA
rnacentral:rRNA from 1 species